UCCUUUUCCCUACUUCGUCUCUUGCCUUUGCAAUUCCUUCUUCUUCCUCACGUUCUUCCUCUUCACCGAAGUGUGUCUUCACCCACGACGAGCCCUUACUGGCUUUUGGGAGCACUGACAAGUCAUCAUCCAGCGUUGGUCGUUCGGCUCGACCGACUCCGGUCACCGUUGGCCACUACUUGACCGGCGGUUUCUAGUAUCGCCGAU
rnacentral:lncRNA from 1 species